UUAAAUAUAAGAGGUCUAGCCUGCCCAGUGACAAAUUUAACGGCCACGGUACCCUAACCGUGCAAAGGUAGCAUAAUCACUUGUUCUUUAAAUGAGGACUCGUAUCAACGGCAUCACGAGGGUUCUACUGUCUCCUUUUUCUAAUCAGUGAAACUAAUCUCCCCGUGAAGAAGCGGGGAUAUAAUUAUAAGACGAGAAGACCCCAUGGAGCUUUAAACCCAAUUACACUCCUAAUUACUAUUUCCUCUUAACCUCCUAGGACCCUGUAUUAUUGGCUUUAGGUUGGGGCGACCACGGAGUACAAUUUAACCUCCACGAUGAAUGGGGUAAACCCCCUUAUCCAAGAACCACAUAUCUAAGAAUUAGUACACUAACAUAUAAUGAUCCGCUAAACGAUCAACGAACCAAGUUACCCUGGGGAUAACAGCGCAAUCCAUUUCAAGAGCCCCUAUCGACAAAUGGGUUUACGACCUCGAUGUUGGAUCAGGAUACCCCAGUGGUGCAGCAGCUACUAAAGGUUCGUUUGUUCAACGAUUAAUAUCCU
rnacentral:rRNA from 1 species